UACGUAGGCAGCAAGCGUUGUUCGGAAUUACUGGGCGUAAAGAGUGUGUAGGCGGUGCUCUAAGUUUGGUGUGAAAUCUCCCGGCUCAACUGGGAGGGUGCGCCGAAAACUGGAAUGCUUGAACAUGGGAGAGGAAAGCGGAAUUCCUGGUGUAGCGGUGAAAUGCGUAGAUAUCAGGAGGAACACCUGCGGUGUAGACGGCUUUCUGGACCAUUGUUGACGCUGAGACACGAAGCGUGG
rnacentral:rRNA from 1 species